rnacentral:rRNA from 1 species
CAGUCGCCGCGGUAAUACGUAGGUGGCAAGCGUUGUCCGGAAUUAUUGGGCGUAAAGGGCUCGCAGGCGGUUUCUUAAGUCUGAUGUGAAAGCCCCCGGCUCAACCGGGUAGGGUCAUUGGAAACUGGGAAACUUGAGUGCAGAAGAGGAGAGUGGAAUUCCACGUGUAGCGGUGAAAUGCGUAGAGAUGUGGAGGAACACCAGUGGCGAAGGCGACUCUCUGGUCUGUAACUGACGCUGAGGAGCGAAAGCGUGGGGAGCGAACAGGAUUAGAUACCCCAGUAGUCCCUGUCUCUUAUAA